AUUGAACGCUGGCGGCAGGCCUAACACAUGCAAGUCGAACGAGUGGCGGACGGGUGAGUAAUGUCUGGGAAACUGCCUGAUGGAGGGGGAUAACUACUGGAAACGGUAGCUAAUACCGCAUACCAUCAGAUGUGCCCAGAUGGGAGUAGAUAGUGGGUGGGGAAACGGCUCACCAAGGCGACGAUCCCUAGCUGGUCUGAGAGGAGGAACAUCCACACGGCAACUGAGACACGGUCCAGACUCCGACGGGAGGCAGUAGUGGGGAAUAUUGCACUAUGGGCGCAAGCCUGAUGCAGCCAUGCCGCGUGUAGGAAGAAGGCCUUCGGGUUGUAAAGUACUUUCAGCGGGGAGGCGUUACCCGCAGAAGAAGCACCGGCUAACUCCGUGCCAGCAGCCGCGGUAAUUC
rnacentral:rRNA from 1 species